AGAAAAACAUAUCGUAUCAACCUUCCCUCUAUUUGCUUCUUUAAAAUUUCUGAUACUUCCGGUUUCGAGCUCAGGACGAAGCUGGCUACCUUACAUCUGAGCUGUAUAUAUUAUUUCAUAAUCAUGAAGAAGGAUAGAAUUCUACAGAGAAUUUCUACAGAUACAUAAGUUUGCUUCUUUUCAAAAUGCUGGCACUGAUUAUUUCUUUUGUUUGAGCUCUCCUCAACAUGCUCCAAUGGCGGAGGGAAACAUUUCAUUACAAUAAACUGCAUUCACUUCUCAGGAUCCUGCAUUUCCAUAUAUACUCCAUUACCCCUUUCAUCUCUACUCCAAUUAAACAACCCCUAACAGAAAUACCCAUCAAGGAAUCCAUUUUCACAUUGUGCCAAAGUGGUCAGUUAAGAAAAGCUCUGGAAUUCGUGGAUUCCUCAAAUCAUCAUGGAAUUACAUCUGACCCAGAAACAUACGCUUCUCUGCUACAAAAGUGUGCAGACGAAAAUGCCCUGGAAGAAGGUAAGCAAAUCCAUACCCAAAUUAUUAGCAACAACUUUGAGCAAAACGUUUUCCUACUUAACAAACUCAUAAGCAUGUACGGUAAAUGCUCGAGCCCAUCGGAUGCUAGAUUGGUUUUCAAUGGGAUAGAUAAUCCAAACCUAAUCUCAUGGAAUUCCAUUUUCAGGGCAUAUGCCAUGCAUGGGUGCUGUGAAGAAGCACUUAAACUGUUUAGAAAAAUGCAAUUAAAAGGGGUAAGGGCGGAUAAUUUUACAUUUCCUAGUGUUCUCAAGGCCUGUGCUGGCAUGUCUUUUCUGGAACAGGGCAAGGAGAUCCAUGGCUUGUUAAUUAAAUGUGGGUUUGAGGGAGAUUUGGGCGUAGGGAAGGCAAUUGUGAACAUGUAUGGUAAAUGUGGGAGUGUUGAGGAUGCACACCUUGUGUUUGACAAAAUGCCUCAGCGAGAUUUAGUAUUGUGGAACGUUAUGAUUGCAAGUUAUUCCCAGAGUGGGUAUUGUUACGAGGCUUUGGAGGUGUUCCUUAGGAUGCAGUUAUCUGGGGAAAUGCCCAAUUGUGUCACUAUUGCUACGGUGCUUCAAGUGUGUGCUUGCUUGGAGAUUACAGAAUUGGGUAAGAAUGUCCAUUCAUACAGUAUAAAAUGUGGACUUCAAUCAGAAGUUCUUGUAGGAAAUGCUCUUUUAAACAUGUAUGCAAAAUGUAGGGGGAUAUGGGAUGCAUCGCGUGUGUUCAAUGAGGUCAACCAGAAAGAUGCGGUUUCUUGGAAUGCGAUGAUUGCUGGUUAUGGUCAGGUCGGACAUGCUGAUCAGGCUUUGGAACACUUUUAUCAAAUGUUAAUGUCAGGUGUGAAACCUAAUACAGUAACCAUCCUGUGUGUUCUCUCUGUUUGUGGCUUGUCGCAAGGCAAGGAAAUUCAUGCUUAUGUCAUCAGAAGCAGAAUUCAGUUAGAUGUUUCUGUAGGGAAUGCCAUGCUUGAUAUGUACUCGAAAUGCAUGGCCAUAGAAUUAGCAAGACGAGUGUUUGAAAAAAUGGUCGAGAGAGACAUAAUUUCCUGGAAUGCGAUUAUCGCAGGCUAUGCACAAAAUGCGUAUUUUUCUGAUGCCAUAGAUCUGUUUGGUCAAAUGCAACUGGCAGGAGUGAAACCAGAUGCAGUUACCAUUGCAAGUGUCCUUUCUGCAUGUGCCUGUUUAGAGAAUCUCCGAAAGGGCAAGGGAAUUCAUGCUUACAUAAUUCGAAAUCGAGCCUUUGCAUUUGACAUUGCCGUGAGCAAUGCUCUCAUAACGUUGUAUGCAAGUUGCGGGAAUCUAGAGGUUGCAGGCCAUGUGUUUGUCAACAUGUCUGAAAGAGAUUUGGUAUCCUGGAAUGCAAUGAUUUCAACUCAUGUCCAGAAAGGUUGUUGUAGAGAAGCCAUAAACCUAUUUCAUCAAAUGGAAAAGACAUAUGUGAAACCAGAUUCCGUCACCAUUUCAAGUGUUCUAUCUGCAUGUGCUCGACUUUCAGCUUUGAAGCUGGGGUUAGAAAUCCAUGGUUACAUAAUCAAAAGCAGUAAUCUUAGCACAGAUGUUGUUGUGGGUAAUGCCUUGAUUGACAUGUAUGCCAAAUGCGGGAGAGUGCUGACUGCACGUCAAGAGUUUGACAAAAUGUUAUACAAAAAUAUUGUCUCAAACAAUGUAAUGAUUGCAGGGUAUGCUAAGUGCGGUGAUAAGGAGAGUGCAGAAAAUGUAUUUGAUAAAAUGUGUGAAAGAAACAUAUCCUCGUGGAAUGCGAUGAUUGCACUGAACACCCAACAUGGGUAUGGCAAUGAGGCCCUGGAACUCUUCCGCCAAGCACAACUGGCAGGUAUACAACCUAACAAUAUCACCGUUGCAAGCAUUCUCUCUGCAUGUUCUCAAGUAGCAGCUCUGCAGCGGGGCAAGGAGAUCCACGAUUACAUAAUUAAAAGAGACCUCGAUUCAGAUGUCUUUGUGACAAGUGCGAUUAUAGAUAUGUAUGCCAAAUGUGGGAGUCUACAAGAUGCAUGCCAAAUAUUUGAAAAGACAUCUAAAUUGGAUGUGGUCAUAUGGACUGCAAUGAUUUCCGCGCAUGCUAUUCAUGGACAUGGAGAGGAUGCUCUCUCAAUUUUUCAUCAGAUGCAGCAGGCAGGUUUCAAACCAGACCAUGUCACCUUCACUGCUGUUUUGUCUGCAUGUAGUCAUGCAGGUCUUGUUGAUCAAGGUUGGCAAAAUUUCAAUUGCAUGAUUAAAGAUUAUUGCAUCACACCCAACAUGGAGCACUAUGCUUGUAUGGUAGACUUACUUGGUCGGGCUGGGCACCUACAAGAGGCCUAUAAUUUUAUCAAAAACAUGCCAUUAAAGCCACAUUCUCGCAUAUGGGGAACUUUGCUUGCUGCCUGUAGAAUCUAUCAUAAUACAGAUCUAGGAGAACUUGUGGCAGAUCAUAUUUUUGAGUUGGAACCUACAGAUACUGGAAAUUAUGUUCUCCUGUCAAAUAUUUACGCUGCAGUGGGCAGAUGGGAUGGAGUACAAAGGAUAAGAAAGUUUAUGAAAGAUAAAGGAUUGAAAAAAAUGCCAGGAUACAGCUGGAUUGAGGUGAAAAAUAGGGUGUAUACAUUUCUUGUAGAAGACAUAGCAUGUCCAUAAAUGGAAGUCUACAGUAUUGUGGAUAAGUCUGGUGGAAAUAAGGGAGAGGGGUAUGCCCCUGCUAUGGACAGAGUAUUUCAUGGUUUAAAGAGGAAGAAGAGCACAUUCAUUUAGACCACAGCAUUUAUUUAGCCAUUGAUUUUGGGGUUAUGAGAAAAUGCCCUAUAUUUCUUAUGGUGAUCAACGAAGGCCCAAAACAUUGCUGCUUGAAGUACUUUACAUACAGAGUAUUUCAUGGUUUAAAGAGGAAGAAGAGCACAUUCAUUUAGACCACAGCAUUUAUUUAGCCAUUGAUUUUGGGGUUAUGAGAAAAUGCCCUAUAUUUCUUAUGGUGAUCAACGAAGGCCCAAAACAUUGCUGCUUGAAGUACUUUACAUGCUACCCUCAAUUCAUAUGGAAGGGACUGUAAAUUGAGAAACAUAUGUGAAAAUUCAAAAUACAUCUGUUGUCUGAAAGCCGGUCAUACUUUUUUGAACUCGGACAUGUUGGAAUAUAUUGUCAUUGAUGUCAAAGGCAUUUGAAGACCAAGAUUGGAGGAUAGAUCGUACCAAAUUUGUGACACUAUUUUGAAGACAUCAUUAGACAAGGAAGGAGACAAUUUAAAUAUUAAGUUGCACAAAUAAUUAUGCAUGGGCAGAUCCAUGUUUGGAGGAAAUAAUUAUUGCUGUGGCUGAUCUCUUAUAGGGUGACAAGGGUUAAGUGCAGAGAUGCAUUAAAAAACAAAAGUUACAUCCCGUGUGAAACUAGAUGUCCUUGGCUGAAAUCGCACCAUUUGGUAAAAAUAUAAAGUGCAGUUGCAAAAUGUUAUAAAGCCAAGCAUUCAUUGAUUAUCUUUUAUAAGAAAGAGCAGAUAUAAAAGUCAUUUUGUAGCAGAUUUGUGAAAGAUGUUGGAGAUUUGUGAAGAAAAAUUAUAGCAGACUAAUGAAAGACAUUACUGCAGAUUAUUGAGAAAUAUUAUUGCAGGACUUAUGAGCAGAAUUUAAGAACAAUUAUUGCAGACUUAUGAGCAGAAAAUAUUCCAAAUUAUAUGGAGAUUUUUUGAAGACUUUUGGAGUAAAUUUCAAGAGAUAUAUCAAGCAUAUGUUAAGGCAGAUUUUGGUGAAGUAUUGAGCCGAUUUCUAAAGGAGAAUUAAAUCUGAUUUAAGAAGAGCUAAGUAUUCAUUACCUGAUUAUUUUGGAGGUUGGUGCUUUGUAUUCAAGAAGAUUGGUGUCUCUUGCUGAGUUGGUGCUCAAUUGUGGGGAUUGGUGUCUCUAAAAGGCUUCAGAGGCCAAUAAGCAACCUGUAGGUGCAGUUAGCAACAUCAUAAACUCCAUCUGGAUGAGAGGUAUAGUGCCAUUUCUACAGGUCGCCUCAACCUCUUGAUAAAUCCACUCUACAUUCAAAAGAAUCUGGGUUCACUUUGUGUUUUAAAAAUGCUUUUCUCAAUUACCACAUUCCUAUCAUAUGCAUUGGUCUAUCGUGCUCACACCAGUUGUGCAUGAUUUGGUAAGAAGAAAAGUUUGUGAUAGAUUCCGUCUAUACACAUUCACCAGGCGGUCAAUGGGUUAUUGCCUGUGCAGAUCUGGUCAUUGAUAUUAUAUGCCAGUAUUGUGUAUUUGAAAGUUUUUAAUGGUAAUUUUAGUAACAAUUUCUGGUGCUUCUCUACAUUCUCUAAACAUUGAACAUCAUUUUCCCUUCUUUGGAACAAUGCACAUGACUCAAAGCUGCUUAGAGUUUUUAUUUUGUGUUUACUUCGAGCUCAGGAAAAAGUUUGUAGCACAUAGUGGAUAGUAACCUUGGCUUCAAAAAUCACCAUUGGCAGAGAGAACUUUUAGGAGGUUUCGAGCUUGACCAUCAAUCCUUGGAUUAACCUCGAUAUGAUCCUAUUUUGCAAAUGGUGCUAUGAGGUUCUGAGCAGUUCAUUAUAAGCUUUGAUGCAGCGUUUCAUCAUUAUUCUAGCAAUAGAUUUCUUCCCUCAAAUCUCCAAUGACUGCCCAAAUAGUUUCAAAGAUUUUUCUAUUAAGCAAAAGAUUGAUGUAAUGUCUUUUUUCGUUUCUCUUGUAGUGUUGUUGACACUAAUCUUUUCGUUAUGUGUCAGUUUGA